rnacentral:rRNA from 1 species
UUUGAUCCUGGCUCAGGACGAACGCUGGCGGCGUGCUUAACACAUGCAAGUCGAACGGAAAGGCCCUUCGGGGUACUCGAGUGGCGAACGGGUGAGUAACACGUGGGUGAUCUGCCCUGCACUCUGGGAUAAGCCUGGGAAACUGGGUCUAAUACCGGAUAGGACCGCAUGCUUCAUGGUGUGUGGUGCAAAGCUUUUGCGGUGUGGGAUGAGCCCGCGGCCUAUCAGCUUGUUGGUGGGGUAAUGGCCUACCAAGGCGACGACGGGUAGCCGGCCUGAGAGGGUGACCGGCCACACUGGGACUGAGAUACGGCCCAGACUCCUACGGGAGGCAGCAGUGGGGAAUAUUGCACAAUGGGCGCAAGCCUGAUGCAGCGACGCCGCGUGAGGGAUGACGGCCUUCGGGUUGUAAACCUCUUUCAGUAGGGACGAAGCGAAAGUGACGGUACCUACAGAAGAAGGACCGGCCAACUACGUGCCAGCAGCCGCGGUAAUACGUAGGGUCCGAGCGUUGUCCGGAAUUACUGGGCGUAAAGAGCUCGUAGGUGGUUUGUCGCGUUGUUCGUGAAAACUCACAGCUUAACUGUGGGCGUGCGGGCGAUACGGGCAGACUAGAGUACUGCAGGGGAGACUGGAAUUCCUGGUGUAGCGGUGGAAUGCGCAGAUAUCAGGAGGAACACCGGUGGCGAAGGCGGGUCUCUGGGCAGUAACUGACGCUGAGGAGCGAGAGCGUGGGUAGCGAACAGGAUUAGAUACCCUGGUAGUCCA